AAAUAUUAAGAGUACUAUUCCACAAACAGAAGUGCCAGGGAAUACCUGAAGUUUGUGGAAGAACGUUUUUGUUCUGCAGAUAAAUCUCUCGAUGGUACACUAAUGGUUGAACUCACGACCAUGAAGUUUGAUGGGUCGCGUAGUAUGCAAAAUCAUAUCAUCGAGAUGACUAACAUUGCAGCAAGACUUCAGACUACACUAAUGGUUGAACUCACGACCAUGAAGUUUGAUGGGUCGCGUAGUAUGCAAAAUCAUAUCAUCGAAAUGACUAACAUUGCAGCAAGACUUCAGACCUUGGGGAUGAAAGUGGAUGUCUCCUUCUUGGUUCAGUUUAUUCUGAAUUCGUUACCUCCUGAGUAUGGACCAUUUCAAAUUAACUAUAGCACUAUUAAAUAUAAGUGGAAUGUUAGUGAAUUGUCCAGUAUGCUUACUCAAGAGGAGUCAAUACUUAAGAAACAAGGGAGUCAUUCAAUUAACCUCAUGGGUCAAGGAGCUGGUAAAGGACUUAAAGUGAAGGACAACAAGUUCAAGAAGAAGAAAGCAUCUGCUAAAGCUCAACAUGAUGCUAACAAGGAACAUGAGACAGAUACGUGUUGUUUCUGUAACAAGGAAGGACACCAUCAGAAAGAUUGCUUGAAACAUAAAGCUGGGUUCAAAAUAGAAAGGCACAAUUAGUGUUUUUGUAUGUUUCGAAUCAAAUUUAGUAGAAGUUCCUAACAAUACUUGGUGACUUGAUUCUGGUGCAACUGCUCAUGUAUCUACUACAUUGCAGGUGUAGAAAAUCACUCUAUCUAUGAUAUGUGCGCUUUGGUGGUAUGAGCAUCAUUUUCAGGUAU
rnacentral:lncRNA from 1 species